rnacentral:rRNA from 1 species
GCUUGUCUCAAAGAUUAAGCCAUGCAUGUCUAAGUAUAAACAACUUUAUACUGUGAAACUGCGUACAGCUCAUUAUAUCAGUUAUAAUUUAUUUGAUGGUGAUUUACUACAUGGAUAACCGUGGUAAUUCUAGAGCUAAUACAUGCGAAAAAUCUCGACUCACGGAGAGAUGCUUUUAUUAGAUCAAAACCAAACGGCUUCGGCCGUCUCAUUGGUGACUCUGAAUAACUUUGGGCUGAUCGUAUGGCCUUGUGCCGACGACGUUUCCUUCGAAGGUGUGCCCUAUCAACUGUCGACUGUGAUAUAGACGCUCACAGUGGUUUUGACGGGUAACGGGGAAUCAGGGUUCGAUUCCGGAGAGGGAGCCUUAAAAACGGCUACCACAUCCAAGGAAGGCAGCAGG